UGCCCAGCAACUCCUAUCCCUACCUCCUCGAGGUACUGGGCGGGAUACGAGUAACCUUAGAGAAGAUCGAGUAACAGGGUUGGUUGGUGGGAGCUUUGAUCGUAUGCUGGCAGGGAAGG
rnacentral:ribozyme from 1 species